AAGGCUAUCAGCAUAGGUCUACCGAGCAAUAUCACCCGCUCGGUGGAAGAUCUUCCUUUCGCCGU
rnacentral:pre_miRNA from 1 species